UUACAUAUGCAUAUGUAGCUAGAAUACAUGCAUGCCAAGAAAUAAACACUGCAAGACAAUAGAAGAAACCAUAUAUACGUAUAUACAAUUAUACAUAUGCAUAGGAUUAAUUUACUGCAAUUCAUUCUGCAAACGAUGGUGAUGCCUUCUCAUAGUCAUCCACCCAGAAGAACUCACUGGGGGCACCUUCUGCUACUACUUGCAGCCAUCUUCAUGCUUGAUUUCGACCUCCCUACGGUGAGUCUAUACUUAAUAAUUUCCUCUACUUUCAUUAGAAAAUAGUAAUUGCAUAUAUACAGCACCUGACGAGUUGCUAGCUCGUCUUGGCUCGGAUCGAUUUGUUUUAAUUUUUUCACGAGUUGAGCUGGCAUCCUAGUUCGGUUCGUUAACACGCCAGCUCAGUUUAUUAACGAGUUAGCUCACGAGCUAUCACAUUUCAGCAAAACAAAAAUAUAUGCAUAUCUUUUACAUAACAAUCGAUAACCAUAAUAUAUGUAUGUAUGGUGUCUAUAUAUGGUCUAUAAGUUAAACUGAUGAUUGAUGAACUCUGUCUAUAUGUUAAAUUGGUCUAUACAAAUAUAAGUGUGGGUUAAACUAAUGAACAUGUGUGUGAAUAGUGAAUUGAUGAGUGUUGAGUUGUGUUAAUUUGAUGUGCAUUGAUGUGGUAUGUAAAACUACGAGUAUAAUUAAUAUUUUCUAUUGUUAAAUUAGUUUAAAAUUAACUAGAAAUUGAUAAUUAUAUACAUAUUGUUUUUUCUGCUCCGUCUCACAAGCUAAAUGAGCCGAGCCGAGCUUGUUAGCUUAACGAGCCAGCUCGAGCUCAAACUAAUCGAGCCGAGCUAGCUCGAUAUCCAACUCUAGUUGGCGCCGCCCGGUCCUAUGGUUUAUGCAGCAGACUAAAUAGAUGCAUAUGCUUUCCUCGCAAAUUCACUAUCAAAUAGUAACCGCACAUCUUACAAUAUAAUGCAUAUUUUAUUUCAUAAUUUUGUAUAUUGAUCUGUAAUUGCAGUAACAUAGGGGACCUUGAUUUCAGAUACCAGGCAUUCUUUUCGUCUUAGACUGUCUCCAAUAGAGUGCGUAAAAUAUAGAACACGAAACUGUAGACGAUACUGUUUGUAGAUAGAAGUUUAAAAUAAAGUAUAAGAUAGGGGAUAAAAUACGAGACCAGUUAGAGAUAGACUUAUCUAACAUUUUUUUAGGCCCGUGCUCCUCCAAUUCGGGCUAGUGCAUAUGCUUUCCUCGCAAAUUCACUAUGAAAAACAGUAUAUAGUGCAUAUUUUAUUCAAUAAUUUUGUAUUUUGAUCUGUUAUGGCAGUAACUUAGGACAUAUUUGUUUCAGCUUAGAGAUUAUAUAAUCUAGAUUAUAAUCUAAAUUAUAUAAUCCAGAUUAUAAUUUAGAUAUAUUAUAAUCUAUAUGUAGUUGUUUGGUAGUAUAGAUUAUACAAAUGUAGAUUAUUCACAAAGACAACAAUACCCUUAUUGUUUAUUUGAGAUGAGAAAAGAAUGAUGGCAUAUAUUAUAAUUUCUACUUACAUUACCAUGGGUAGUGGGUCUUUUGCCAAAAUAAUCUCAAAUAAGCUAGUCUUGAGAACAUUAUGAGAUUCUCAUAAUCUGGAGUUUAGAUUAUAUAAUCUGAACUCAUAAUCUAUGUGUUUGUUUAAUUAUUAGAUUAUUUGUGCUAAAUUAUAUAAUCUGGAGAGAUUAUAAUCUAAAAUAAACAGGGCCUUAAAGAAAUCUUGAUUUUGAAUGCCGAGCAUUCUUGCUAUCUAAAAUCGUUAUCCUCCGGUACAUCCAGAUUUUAUAUAGUGAGCAUUCCUGCCACCAUCUACUAAGAGACCCAGCUAUUCUUUUUUGCAGCCCAAGGUUAGUACAAUUUUUCCUCCUCCGGUACAUGGUGGGCCCCCAUAAAAUGUGAUCUGCACAUGCAUGCUACAGGCCUACAGCAACGCCAUUCUUAGUAUAUACUAGUUGAGUUAAAAAAGAACGUGUUUUCAAUAAGAAAAUCAAUCUCAAAAGUUAUACUAAAUGUAUACAUAUAAAAAAACUAUUAAUAUUUAUAUAUAAUAAGCAUCGUUUGCUGUAAGUCAUUGUCAAACCCGGAUUUAAGGGCAAACUCGGAUGCGUCUCAAAUGUAUGUUAGGAUUAAGUGUCACACAUGAUGACUCAUAGGUACAGAAAUCAAUGUCAUAUCUUUAUUAUAUACUAGCCAGUUGCUCGUACUUUGAUACAGUUUUUAUAUAUCAUGUAAACAGGUAUUGAGAUAUUUAUUCAAAUAUAAUUAUUGUUUAUUUCUAAAUAAUAAGGUACGUGUGGUCUACUGGCUAGCCCUAAAUUUCUGGAGUAGGGGGUGUGGGUGAGUGCUCGCUCUGUAUUAUUUUUUAUAUAAUUAUUGUUUUUCUAAACACUGUGGUGCGGGUGGGGUUGGGUGCUGGACAAGCAUAGGUGAGAGAGCGUUGCGCGGGCCCUGGGCAUGGGGUGGUAGAACUAGUCAGGGCGUGUGGGGUGGGCCUAGAGUAUCAGGUGGAGGGUAAAGCCAUAUAGCACCAAGUGCCCAGUUCUUAAUAGAGUAGUAUAGAAUAGAAGUUCUGUACAAAAUAGCUAAGUAAAUACAUCAUAUGCCGACAACGAUCCUCCGCAAGCAUAGUUGAAUGGGACGAGACGACGACCUAGACCUCUCCGAACGCAUCGUAUCAUCCUUCAUGUUUCUCCAGCGGUACCUGUUCUUAAUCUGGUGUGAUUAUAGCAAGAUUGAAGUCACAUACAUCCAUCGCUCAGUAAGUGUGGCGAAUAAUGUGCAUGAGCUCACUUACGGUGUGAGCUCAUGUGUAGUGUAGGGGUUACCAAAGAAAAUGGUUAAGACUGAGAAUUGCUUUUAAAGAAGUUGGUCAAAAAAAUUAGCGAUUACUAAGUAUAGGUAUAUACCAACCCAAUUAAAAAAUUGAUCAUAAUUAAUAAUAAAUCUCACAAUGCAAUACAAAUGACAGGUUAAGUUUAAUUCCAUAAAUUACUCGUGUGGUGGUCCGAGCCGCUCAUGAUCGUGAGCACGACUAAUAUACCAGUUUUACACUCUGAAAAGUUUGCACAUCUUUAUCUAUAAGUCACGUAAAAGUUCAGAGAACUUUGUACCUAACCACGCCUGUGCCAGCUAGCACAGUACCACACUACCGAGGUGUGGUGGCAUAGGGACGCUAUGAGUCCUUUGCAAAGUUCCACUAGCAUGAGAAAACCCGCUACAGUUUUAGGACGAAGGAAGCAUAGGCCUUUUCCACGGUAUAUAACCCCACCGCAGUAAUUAUAGCCAGCACUAUACUCUGCAGCGACACCUAGCCGCUUGCCGCUCACUAGCUUUCAUAAUUAAUUGGCCAAGAAUAGAGCCAUAUAGUCCUCGUGGUUACACUGUUGUCUCAUGUGGUCGCUCUAUGUUCCAAUUAAACAAUAUGAUCUUAUCAUGUAUCAUAAUAAAGCGAAUAGUAAUAACUAAUAAGGGAACAUGAGCAUGAAUCAUAAGUAGCAUUAACAAAAAACCAGGUAGAGCAAUAGCAAGACUACCCAAUAAUUCAUUUGUAUGCAAGGUGUGGGGUAAACAAAACUAGGUAACUUAUUAGGUCCCAUCAAGUUAACCUAAGCAUGUCACGGUGAUUAUCAUGAACAUUAUUAGGUAAAAAAUGUGAUCAAGGACACAACUUUCCUUAUAUUUGUGAUAACCUUGUUGUCUAGAUGAUGUCCCAAAAGUUGGGCUUCAGAUUCCUUGACACCUCGCCUCUACUCGUAGAAAUACAUACAAUCAAACAAAUAAUGGAUAUGGUAACAUUACACCAAAGCAAAAAAAACAAAUCACACAAUAAUCUUCUACGUGUCACUAGAAGAUCGUAGGUUCGAGAACUACUAAGAUCGGAGUUAUGGUUAAAAAGAUAUAGUUUUCUGAAGUUUUAGAUGUUUAAACAAAACUAUAUUCUAUGUUGAUUAAUAUAAAUCAUGUGAGAAAGAUAAUCUAAAGAAAUGAUUAAUUCAACUUUAAUCUAAAUUAUAACUUAAUUAGAGAUCAUCUUUUAAUCUAGAGAGACGAUUAGGGAUAAGCCGGCGGCCGAAAAUAAGAGUCGAAACCUCCUCGAGAAGGUGACAGCAUUGGAGAAGGAGAAGGAGGACCUCGGUUGCCAACUUACUGAUGAAAAAGAGAACACAUAGAACGCCCGCAUGGAGGCUCAGGAUGCCCGCAGGCAUGCUGCUAACUUGUAGCUAGAGCUGAAGAAUAUGCGUGGGCACCGCGAGAGGAUAGAGUCUUCCACCCGUGCUGGGGUUGAACGGGCGCACACGCUUUUCGUGGAUGCGUACCGUGACCUUGGCGAGCAAACUGCCCCUUUUGACAAAUCGGGGGAGGAGGUGGGGACCCGCUUUCUAGGGUGGCUGCAAGAUGAGCUAGAGUCGCUCCCGUCCAUUGUGACGGGUCUCAUGUCCUAUGCGUCUCUUAUCACUUGCGAAGGGGCUGCGAAUGAUUUGUCUCGAGAGGUAUGUAGGCAUUUCGAGGUCUUUGACCAAGCGAACG
rnacentral:lncRNA from 1 species